rnacentral:piRNA from 1 species
UGCGGAAAUUGGUAAGAUUUU